rnacentral:rRNA from 1 species
GACGAACGCUGGCGGCGUGCUUAACACAUGCAAGUCGAACGGAAAGGCCCUGCUUUUGUGGGGUGCUCGAGUGGCGAACGGGUGAGUAACACGUGAGUAACCUGCCCUUGACUUUGGGAUAACUUCAGGAAACUGGGGCUAAUACCGGAUAGGAGCUCCUGCUGCAUGGUGGGGGUUGGAAAGUUUCGGCGGUUGGGGAUGGACUCGCGGCUUAUCAGCUUGUUGGUGGGGUAGUGGCUUACCAAGGCUUUGACGGGUAGCCGGCCUGAGAGGGUGACCGGCCACAUUGGGACUGAGAUACGGCCCAGACUCCUACGGGAGGCAGCAGUGGGGAAUAUUGCACAAUGGGCGGAAGCCUGAUGCAGCAACGCCGCGUGCGGGAUGACGGCCUUCGGGUUGUAAACCGCUUUCGCCUGUGACGAAGCGUGAGUGACGGUAAUGGGUAAAGAAGCACCGGCUAACUACGUGCCAGCAGCCGCGGUGAUACGUAGGGUGCGAGCGUUGUCCGGAUUUAUUGGGCGUAAAGGGCUCGUAGGUGGUUGAUCGCGUCGGAAGUGUAAUCUUGGGGCUUAACCCUGAGCGUGCUUUCGAUACGGGUUGACUUGAGGAAGGUAGGGGAGAAUGGAAUUCCUGGUGGAGCGGUGGAAUGCGCAGAUAUCAGGAGGAACACCAGUGGCGAAGGCGGUUCUCUGGGCCUUUCCUGACGCUGAGGAGCGAAAGCGUGGGGAGCGAACAGGCUUAGAUACCCUGGUAGUCCACGCUGUAAACGGUGGGUACUAGGUGUGGGGUCCAUUCCACGGGUUCCGUGCCGUAGCUAACGCUUUAGGUACCCCGCCUGGGGAGUACGGCCGCAAGGCUAAAACUCAAAGGAAUUGACGGGGCCCCGCACAAGCGGCGGAGCAUGCGGAUUAAUUCGAUGCAACGCGUAGAACCUUACCUGGGUUUGACAUGGAUCGGGAGCGCUCAGAGAUGGGUGUGCCUCUUUUGGGGUCGGUUCACAGGUGGUGCAUGGCUGUCGUCAGCUCGUGUCGUGAGAUGUUGGGUUAAGUCCCGCAACGAGCGCAACCCUUGUUCACUGUUGCCAGCACGUUAUGGUGGGGACUCAGUGGAGACCGCCGGGGUCAACUCGGAGGAAGGUGGGGAUGACGUCAAGUCAUCAUGCCCCUUAUGUCCAGGGCUUCACGCAUGCUACAAUGGCUGGUACAGAGAGUGGCGAGCCUGUGAGGGUGAGCGAAUCUCGGAAAGCCGGUCUCAGUUCGGAUUGGGGUCUGCAACUCGACCUCAUGAAGUCGGAGUCGCUAGUAAUCGCAGAUCAGCAACGCUGCGGUGAAUACGUUCCCGGG